AGCUUUGCGCAGUGGCAGUAUCAUAGCCAGUGAGGUUUAUCGGAGGCACCACUAUUGCUAAUUGAAAAAAAUUGACUAGUUUAUAGAUAAAGUUUAAGGUCAUCAAUCUUACUUGAAAUUAUUUGAAAGUA
rnacentral:snRNA from 1 species